UACGUAGGUGGCAAGCGUUGUCCGGAUUUACUGGGCGUAAAGAGCGCGCAGGCGGUCGUGCAAGUCGCGUGUGAAAGCCCCCGGCUCAACUGGGGAGGGUCACGCGAUACUGCUCGACUCGAAGGCAGGAGAGGGUAGUGGAAUUCCCGGUGUAGUGGUGAAAUGCGUAGAUAUCGGGAGGAACACCAGUGGCGAAGGCGACUUCCUGGCCUGUUCUUGACGCUGAGGCGCGAAAGCUAGGGUAGCAAACGGG
rnacentral:rRNA from 1 species